rnacentral:rRNA from 1 species
AUUGAACGCUGGCGGCAUGCCUUACACAUGCAAGUCGAACGGCAGCGGACCUUCGGGUGCCGGCGAGUGGCGAACGGGUGAGUAAUAUAUCGGAACGUACCUUUCAGUGGGGGAUAACGUAGCGAAAGUUACGCUAAUACCGCAUAUUCUGUGAGCAGGAAAGCAGGGGAUCGCAAGACCUUGCGCUGAUUGAGCGGCCGAUAUCAGAUUAGCUAGUUGGUGAGGUAAAGGCUCACCAAGGCGACGAUCUGUAGCGGGUCUGAGAGGAUGAUCCGCCACACUGGAACUGAGACACGGUCUAGACUCCUACGGGAGGCAGCAGUGGGGAAUUUUGGACAAUGGGCGCAAGCCUGAUCCAGCCAUGCCGCGUGAGUGAAGAA